ensembl:rRNA 5S_rRNA 5S ribosomal RNA
GCUUAUGGCCAUACCACUCUGACAAAGCCUGAUCUCAUCUGACCUUGGAAGCAAAGCAGAGUUGGGCCUGGUUAGUACUUGGUUGGGAGACUGAAUGGGAAUACUAGGUGCUGUAAGCU